rnacentral:rRNA from 1 species
CCCUAUGGGGCGCAGCAGGCGGAAGGUGGAAAGUAUUCGGAAGCGAGGGAAUUGAUCACCAAGGUAUUGGAACCCGGAGUGGACCCUGAGAACCAGAAGGCCAAACAGUUGCUUCGGGACCUGGAUGAUCCGGACAUUUACUCCACGGCCGUUACGCCUGACCACAUUGAAAAGGUCAAGCAGGUGGAGAAGGCGUUGAAGGCGGCAGAGGGCCACAUCCGGAUCGGCGACUACGACGGCGCUCAGAAAAAGUAUGAGGAAGUUUUGAAUUAUGACGCCUACAAUUCGGCUGCCAGGCGGGGAAUGCAAGAGAUCGAGAGACAUCGGCGUCUCUAUUUCGACACGGCCUAUGACCACACCCGUACGAAGUUUCUGAAUGAAGUGGCCAAGCAAUGGGAAACGGCGGUGCCCAAAUACGAUGUUGGCGGGAGGGC